CCCAGACUCCUACGGGAGGCAGCAGUGGGGGAUAUUGCACAAUGGGGGAAACCCUGAUGCAGCGACGCCGCGUGGGCGAAGAAGUAUUUCGGUAUGUAAAGCCCUAUCAGCAGGGAAGAAGAAAUGACGGUACCUGAGUAAGAAGCCCCGGCUAACUACGUGCCAGCAGCCGCGGUAAUACGUAUGGUGCAAGCGUUAUCCGGAUUUACUGGGCGUAAAGGGAGCGCAGGCGGCGCGCCAAGUCUGAUGUGAAACCCCGGGGCUCAACCCCGGGCAUGCAUUGGAAACUGGCGGGCUGGAGUGCCGGAGAGGUAAGCGGAAUUCCUAGUGUAGCGGUGAAAUGCGUAGAUAUUAGGAGGAACACCAGUGGCGAAGGCGGUCUGCUGGACAGCAACUGACGCUGAGGCGCGAAAGCGUGGGGAGCAAACAGGAUUAGAUACCCGUGUA
rnacentral:rRNA from 1 species